rnacentral:rRNA from 1 species
CUUGGUCAUUUAGAGGAAGUAAAAGUCGUAACAAGGUUUCCGUAGCCUAUUGAAGCCUGACACGGCGACUUGAAAAACAAUCGUGGAGUCUACAUUGAACAAGAUUCAAGUGGGCGAUGCCAAAGAAGUGCUGGGAAUCUUUAACAGGAACGCCAGCAGCCAUCCGGGCCUGUUCAUCCGGGCUGAUGGUUCACAGAUCAAGUAGUGGCAGUCAUGAGCCGAGUAGUCACCGAACUGCUUAAACUUGUGAUGAAGAUAUGACCGGUCAGUGGCUGAACAAGCCAGCUGAGAAACGUUCCGUAGGUGAACCUGCGGAAGGAUCAUUAAAGAGUAAGGGUCUCCGGGCCCGAUCUCCAACCCUUUGUUUAAUCACCAUGUUGCUUUGGCGGGCCCGUCUCACGACCGCCGGAAGUUUGGUCUCAACCAGACUUCUGGCCCGUGCCCGUCAGUGGCCCCUUCAAAUUCUUGAUUAAAUAUGAUGUCUUAGUUAUAAACUUAAUAGUUAAAACUUUCAACAACGGAUCUCUUGGUUCUGGCAUCGAUGAAGAACGCAGCGAAAUGCGAUAAGUAAUGCGAAUUGCAGAAUUCAGUGAGUCAUCGAAUCUUUGAACGCACAUUGCGCUCUCUGGUAUUCCGGAGAGCAUGCUUGUUUGAGUAUCAGCAAAACACCCUCAGUUCUCUUUUUGAGAACUGGACUUGAGUUAUCCCAACGGUGGUUUCAAAACUACUGGCGGGUCGCUUGAAAUGCAGGUGCGGCUGGACACAUCUUCUGAGCUAUAAGCAUUACUUAUUUAAUCCCGUCAGACGGAUUAUUUCUACUGCUACAGCUAUAUAAGGUCGAUUGUCCGUUUGCCCGACUGAUGCAGAAAAAACAGAGAGAAAUCUUUGUUCACUCGAUCUCAAAUCAAGUAAGACUACCCGCUGAACUUAAGCAUAUCAAUAAGCGGAGGA